GUUCCAGCACAUGUUCAAAGGUGUGAUAAGGAUAAUAGAGCAGCACAUCACGUUCACGAAUCGCGUCGAAACCGUUACGAAACUUCUCUUUAUCAAACCAAAGAUGGCGUAACCGCGGUAACGGCUUAUUGACCAGGUUGGCUUUACCGACAUUCGGAAAAUUAAUAAAGUCUUUAAAAUUGUGGUAGCGCCCGCCGGGUACGAUUGAGUCAUACCGGGAGAUCGUCAGUUUUUCCCGCAGCACGUCGACCAGCGCGGCGGGCAUAUCGCGUUGAUAGACAAAGCGCACAGGUUCAGCGGUCAGGCGCUGCUUCAGGCUGGAGGACAUCAGCUCCAUCAGACUGGAUUCCAUCUCAUGCAC
rnacentral:misc_RNA from 1 species